rnacentral:rRNA from 1 species
UACGUAAGUGGCGAGCGUUAUUCGGAAUUAUUGGGCGUAAAGGGCGCGUAGGCGGCUUGAUGUGUCAAAGGUGAAAUCCCUCGGCUCAACUGAGGAACUGCCUUUGAAACUGUCUGGCUUGAGGCCGGGAGAGGGUAGCGGAAUUCCCAGUGUAGCGGUGAAAUGCGUAGAUACUGGGAGGAACACCGGUGGCGAAGGCGGCUACCUGGACCGGUUCUGACGCUGAUACGCGAAAGCGUGGGGAGCGAACAGG